rnacentral:piRNA from 1 species
UCAUAAGUGGGAGCUAAAUGAUGAGAAC